AUUGAACGCUGGCGGCAGGCCUAACACAUGCAAGUCGAGCGGAUGAGCGGAGCUUGCUCCUUGAUUUAGCGGCGGACGGGUGAGUAAUGCCUAGGAAUCUGCCUGGUAGUGGGGGAUAACGUUCCGACAGGAACGCUAAUACCGCAUACGUCCUACGGGAGAAAGCAGGGGACCUUCGGGCCUUGCGCUAUCAGAUGAGCCUAGGUCGGAUUAUCUAGUUGGUGAGGUAAUGGCUCACCAAGGCGCCGAUCCGUAACUGGUCUGGGAGGAUGAUAAGUCACAUGGAACUUGAGAAAGGGCCCGGCUCCCUACGGAAGGCAGCAGGGGGGAUUAUUGGACAAUGGGCGAAAGCCUGAUCCAGCCAUGCGGCGUGGGUGAAGAAGGUCUCCGGUUGGUAAAGCACUUUAAGGUGGGAGGAAGGGAAGUAAGCUAAUCCCUUGCUGUUUGGCCGUUACCGACAGAUGAAGCACCGGCUAACUUCUU
rnacentral:rRNA from 1 species